rnacentral:tRNA from 1 species
UGCCCGGUCGUCUAGUGGCAGGACGCCUGACUCUGACUCAGGUAACGCUGGUUCGAAUCCAGCUCGGGCAU